rnacentral:lncRNA from 1 species
AAAAUAUUCAUCAUUUGCAAAACCCAACAUAUCGUAAUUUCUUAGAGAUGAUGAAGUCCAUGAAGAUGAUCGGAAGCUUGAGCUGUUGCAUGUGGCUAGUGAUGGCCAUGGUAACUUCAGCCCAAGAUAACGCUCCGGUGCUCGACACCUCCGGGCAGGCUCUUCAAUCCGGUGUAGACUACUUCAUUAAACCCGCCAUCACCGACAUCGGCGGCCGUUUCACUUUGAUCGACCGAAACGACUCGUGUCCUUUAUAUGUUGGUCAAAAAAACACCUCCGGCUCCGAGGACUUCCCGGUGACCUUUGCGCCUUUCGUAGAGGGCGAGACGGUGGUGAGAGAGGGUAGGGAUCAGAAGAUCACAUUCUCUGCAGUCACAACCUGUGUGCAAUCAACUACAUGGAAGGUGGGUGAGAAGCAGUCCGAGACCCAGAGGAGGUUGAUUGUCACCGGAAUUGAUCAAAACGAAGGAAUAGCGGGUCCUGCCGGAAAUUACUUCAGGAUUAAUAAAGAUGCAGAUAUU